rnacentral:rRNA from 1 species
GCCUUCCUACGGGGCGCAGCAGUCGGGAAUAUUGCGCAAUGGAGGAAACUCUGACGCAGUGACGCCGCGUAUAGGAAGAAGGUUUUCGGAUUGUAAACUAUUGUCCACAGGGAAGAUAAAAGACUGUACCUGUGAAGAAAGCUCCGGCUAACUACGUGCCAGCAGCCGCGGUAAUACGUAGGGAGCAAGCGUUAUCCGGAAUUAUUGGGUGUAAAGGGUGUGUAGACGGGAUAACAAGUUAGUUGUGAAAUACCUCGGCUCAACUGAGGAACUGCAACUAAAACUAUUAUUCUUGAGUGCAGGAG